GCGGAAAUUCGACAAUUGACAGGGUCUGCAAAUUUCGGGCCAGACAGACCCGUUACCGGAAAAGUCUCCAAAUUGGACCGAGGUUUUGGCUAGCCCCCAAUUGUCAGACGUCUCGAGCGCGUUUCCGAAGUCGGAAUCGGCAAAGGUGAGCCGGGACAGCCUUCUUCCUCCGCCCAGCCGCCACAGUAAUUUGUCGUCAAGUCUGCCACAGGAGGAUAUUUAUUCUGGGUUAACCUGCUUUUAUACUUCGCAGGUUGUUUAUCGAUAUUUGUGUAAUUUUAUUUACUCCUAGAAUUUCCGCAUGUGUUAGCAGUAAUUAUUUGAAUUUGGUCUGUAAUAUUAUAUUCAUGUUGGACCUGUAAACUUAAUAUUUUAAGUCUGUUUUGAUGGAUUGGAUGAGGGAGCUGAGCUCCCAUUUAUUAUUA